CAUGGAUUGGUCCACGCCAAUUUUUCGUCCACAGUUUUAUCUCGUAGAUUAAUCCACGCUACCAUGUUGUAUGGGAUGAGCAGUUAUCCCAUACUUCACAUCUAUAUUUACCUAAAAUAAACCUACUUUAUUUUUACUGUUGCAAUCUGUCACAGAGAACCGCCGCUGCCCCUGUUUCUUCGUUUUCCACUGCAACUCCGACCACUGCUUCUUGCUUCACCACUCAUCGUUGCAACUUCGACUAGCACUGCACCAAACUGUCACCUGUUAUUAUUUAUCAUUCGAAUCCAAACAGAUUCUGCAUUCUACUUCCUACUUCUUGAGGAGCCACUAGCCUGGUACACUCCCCAUCUAAAAUGAAGUGGCUCAACAUGCAAUUAAAGAUAUUUAUGGGAAGUCAAGCUCAUCCUUGUAGCUAAGCUAAUUAUUGAUAGAAUGCGUGACGCUGACGACAAGAAAUGUGGCUGGCUGCUGACGGGAAGAGAAAGAUUUUUAAAUUAGACUUUGUGCAUUGUAACGGGAUUUAUUCCUCAUAGGGGCGGCUCACAGUCACAUCCACCGUGCAUUGGGAAUAUCUCCCAUAAAUAGAGGAGAUAUGUUCAUGCAUGUAAGGUUGGUGUGAGGCGUCCUCUGUGAGUAGCAGAUCAUUUCACAUCGGCUUGCGGCUUGUUCUACUUGGGAUCUCCUGUUCACAAGAACUUUGUCCAUUUCUACCCAUGAUAUAUUAUUUCUGUGUAUUGAAAAUAUCUUCUGUGCAUAAUAUUAUGUAAGAGGAUGAAAUAUUCUCCAUGUAUGAUGAGCCCACCGCCAGCCAUGGAUGGUUGUUCAGUCGUGAACGAGUUAAGAAAUGCUUACUACAUUUUUUUCACCAAAAGGGAAAGAACAAACGCUUUACCUGACAAGCCCAACAAGUCAACAUUCAACA